AUUCCGAUUGAUCCCGUCGGACCCCAUUGCUAUCGAGGUGGGACUAAGCCAUGCUAGUUGAACGACCCCGGACCAUGGCGGGGGAGUGGCGGACUGCUCAGUAACACGUAGCUAACCUACCCUCGGGACAGGGACAACCCCGGGAAACUGGGGCUAAUCCCCGAUAGGCGUGGAGGCCUGGAAUGGUCCCACGCCCAAAGGCCUGCGGGCCCAUGUCGCCCGCCGACGCCCGAGGAUGGGGCUGCGGCCGAUCAGGCCGUUGGUGAGGUAACGGCUCACCAAACCUUUGACCGGUACGGGCCGUGAGAGCGGUAGCCCGGAGAUGGGCACUGAGACAAGGGCCCAGGCCCUACGGGGCGCAGCAGG
rnacentral:ncRNA from 1 species